AGAGAGAGACAUGCGCGCAUAUCAAUAAGCGGAGGAAAAGAAACUAACUAGGAUUCCCUUAGUAACGGCGAGUGAAGCGGGAAGAGCUCAAAUUUGAAAUCUUCAGGUUCUACCUUGACGAAUUGUAGUUUAUAAGAAGUGUUUUCUGUUAGUGUAUUGGCUAAAAGUUCUUUGGAAUAGGACAUCAUAGAGGGUGAGAAUCCCGUAUUUGGUCAUUCCUCCUAGCGUUGUGAUACACUUUCAACGAGUCGGAUUGUUUGGGAAUGCAGUCCAAAAUGGGUGGUAAAUUUCAUCUAAAGCUAAAUAUUGGCGAGAGACCGAUAGCGAACAAGUACCGUGAGGGAAAGAUGAAAAGAACUUUGAAAAGAGAGUUAAACAGUACGUGAAAUUGUCAAAAGGGAAGCGUUUGACACCAGUGUUGUUUUCUCCGAAAAUCAAUUACGAAUGUUUUAUUUUUGAGGAGUUAUGACUUCAUCGGCUUGCUCCUUUCUUUAUGAAACUUUCUUAAUGCACUUUUCGGUUAACAAGUCAACAUCAAUUUCUUUUGUUGUAAAAGGGUAUGAGGAAGGUGGCUUUCUUUUCGGAGAAAGUGUUUAUAGCCUUGUGCCUCUGCAAUCGGAGAGAUUGAGGUCUGCAGCGUAGAUCCUUCGGGGUUAGAUACGUUUGUGCUAAGUUAUAGCUUUUCAGUAGACAACUUGUUGACUAUGUUUAGUCCUGUAGCUUACUCGCUUACUGCUAUUUUACCUACGCUUAGGAUGUUGAUAGUCACAGCGUGUAC
rnacentral:rRNA from 1 species